UGAAGGUCACGUUCUUGACUCUCUUCUCCGUGACUUAUCGGAGAAGUCCGGGCCCUUGCCGGCGUCCAAGGCUUCGAUCGAUGCGAUGCCGAGAGUUGGGGUUACGGAAUUGGGGAUAGAUUGUGCGAUAUGCUUAGACGGAUUUGCAGCCGAUGAGGAGGCCAGGGAGAUGCCUUGCAAACAUAUGUAUCAUUCGGAUUGUAUUGAGAAAUGGUUGAGGGUUCGCGGAACGUGUCCGGUUUGUCGGUUCGUGAUGCCGGUGGAUGAUCAGGAAGGGAAGAAGGACGGUGGUGGUGAUGAUGAAGAUGAAAAUAUGGAAGGCGGAGAAGGACGAGUGGUUGUAGUCAAUCUGUGGGUUAACGAUGGUGAAGGUGAACCGAUGGAUGUGGAAUCGGGCUUGGAGCAUGGAUCGGAGGACUCCGAUUCAGAAUCGCAAGAUGAAAUUAUGGCCGAAGUUGAUGACUCGCCAACACAAGAACAAGAUCCGAG
rnacentral:misc_RNA from 1 species